rfam:Sorghum bicolor cultivar BTx623 chromosome 6, whole genome shotgun sequence.
GGUAACAGUGAUGAGUCCUUGCACAGUUACAGACCUGUGAUGAUUCUUGCGGAGAUGAUCGCAUGAUUCAAAGAACAUCUAAGGGACUGAGUUGUC